GGUGGCGCAUGAUCCUUGUACAUUCGUAUUUGACUGCGGAUGGUAUAUGCGGCUACGCGACUCUAAUUCGUCCAAGUUUGAUUUGUCCGUUAUCCCAGAACCACAGCCCCCCGCCCAGAAAGGGAGACGAAAAGGGUAAACGGAAUGGGCUUCCGUCGGCCCAUGUUUGAGUGAAUAUACAGGCCAUCGGCCCAAUUCAAUGGCGAACCAGUUUCAUUCCUUCUAUCUGUAUCUCACGCCGUUUCCCGCUCCUUCGUUUCCGGUUGGGAUUUCGGGGAGGCUUUUGAAAGCAGCAAAGAGAAUAGAAUUUGAGAAGAGGAAAACUGCGACUAUGGCGUCACUGGGCUCAACUGACACCAAAAUCACCCAAGGGAAGCUUGGAUACUCUCAACAGCCAUCCGUCUUACUUCACCACAAGUUCCUGCACUAGGCGGAACAUUCCUUUAGACAUGUUCAUGUCACAUGUAAGGUGUAUUGUUUCUAGUCCAAGUAGUAUUAGUAUUUGAAUCAUUGGCACGAUCAUCAGAAGCAUGCUGUUGUUAUAGUUUAUCUGUUGAACGGAUCAACAUUGCUGGGGAACCCAUCGCGAAGCUUUUUAUUUGGGACGACCUUUAGUGAGCCAAUGAUAAUUAGGCUGCAUCCAUUGAUAUCCUCAGGUUAUUUUAGGGCAUUCUGGAAACACAGAAAAGCUUGCGACUCAUCCAAUUGAAGAGUUUGAGAAGGAAAAUCCAAUCCACAAGAACAAAAGGCAGGUGCUCUGUAUUGGGUUUUACUAGUUGAAAGAAAGGACGCAAAAUUAGUGAAAGGGUUUUUAAAGAGGUUUGGAAUUGGAUGGCUGGAUCUGGUAGAAAGGUUUGUUCACGAGAAAUGAAGGUGGGACAUUACAUGUGCACGUUAAUGUGAAGGACUCGGAAGGAGAACCGUGGACUAAACACCUUCUACACUCGACAACUGAUAAUAUUGCAGAAUCUGAAGGUCAUAGUUGAGAUAUUUGAGUAGAACACGUCGAGAGUAAAAUGGUCUUCUCCCCACAUUUGUCAUUUGUUGCGGAUGUUCAAUGCAAAAGGAUUCAACAGAACAGUUGUGGAAUCUGCUUCCUACAUGAAUCUAGAGUUCAAAACCCCAAAAAGCUGCACCAAAGGUCCUGAUCGCCUUGAUAUAAAUAUGAAAGGGGGGAUUUAUAUUUAGUGUUCGUCGUUGGCAUUAUAAUUCAUGCGAAAUGAGAACUGUUCUUUCUGCUCAAUGUUGGAGUUUUAUGGAAUCGUUGAUAUUUUAACAACAAAAUCAUAAAAUGGGGUAGACGGUAGAAUCAUCCAUAAACAGAGUGGCUUCUUGUUUAUGUGAUAUUACUGUGUGCAUUUUGAUAAUGCAAGCGCAUUACAUCAAAGAACACAUUUUUUAAAGAAC